GACGUCGGUGCUUAAACCUGCGCUAGAAAAAAUGCCACUCGGCUGGAGGCUGGGAGACACCUAAAAGAUGGCACUGAAUGUUCUAAUUCCUCGCUGGGGAAUGAAUCAAAUUGGCAUCCAAGGAUCUUACUGAUAUAUAAAUAGUGGAUGACAACAAAUGCUCGUGAAGAUGAUUCCGAAUACAGAAAACAAUCAUCGUCACAGCUGGCACUUCUCUCGCACUUUUUUCAGUGGAAAGUAUAUUCAUUUGCAAUGUGAUCAAUGAGGCAGCAGAAUGCAGUGAGAUAACCCCAGACGCCAUAGAAGCUGAAAGAUGAGGCUGAGUGUGUGGCUCUUACUAUCUCACUUAACAAACUUCCACACUUGUGAGAUCCAUAUGUGUAUAACAUACUUAUCGCAUUGCAGAAGGAAAAAGAAACACGUUAUGCACAAGGAACAAAAAACAAUUGGGAAGAUGCUGUCUAAGGUCAAAGUUAGGUUAACUUCCAAACCUGGUGGUUGGUUAUUUAUUUAUUUUGCUCACUGUUUGGUUCUGUAUUCAUGUUUGUCGGUAGCAUAUAAGGAACUGAGUGAUCUAGCUUUGUCUUUAGACUAGUAUUUGAAGUGAUGUUUAACAAGGAAAUCAAGUGUUGGGAGAGCACAAGUGAGGAACUUUUAGUCACUCACAGGCAAGUUAUUUUUAAGCCCUUUGAUUUCCUUAAAUACUUAUAAAAAAACAUGCACUUAAGAAAAUAAUUAAGCUUUUUUCUUGUUCAAGUCCUGCAGGAAAAAGUAUAACAUGACAGUGACUAGAUUGUGCUCUCAUUAAAUGAUUGUUGUUGGGGCAUAUUCUU